rnacentral:lncRNA from 1 species
AAACCUGCCUUUCCUGCUUAGAGUCCCAAGAUAGGUGAGUCAUCAUGACUCCAAACUUCUGUUGUGAAUAAAGCAAGAAGAAGAUAAAGAGCAGCACUUUCUCUUGCUGGGAGCUGCAGAUAAACCCCCUGUCACUUACCUACACUCAUCCUCAGUGAGAACAAAGCCAGCUCUGUAGCUGAGUCCAGACAGCAUCUCUGACUGGAGCAGACCCGAGGGGACAUUCCAGCAUGGGCCUGGCACUGCAUUUGGUAAAUGACAUAAAAAUAGAAUUUCAUGUUCGACUCUUUUUUGAGUCCUGAAAUGUUCUAAAAAUAAGUCUGAUGUUCUCUGGACAGGUAGGAUUGCCCUGACUUGAUGUAUCUGUAGGACAGGAAUCAACUUUAGGAUACCUAAAUACUUUGAGGAGUAUGAAAAAUUUUAUAUGCACACACAAUAUUUGUUUUUCUGAGAAAAGGAUCUGUAAUGUUAUUAUAUCCUUAAGGACAACUAAGGUCUAAAAUAAAUUAAUCACUACUGAUACAAUGUAAAAAGUCACUUGUUGGCAGAAGGAUCUCAAUGAAAUUGAGAGAGUUUCAAAAGACAGCAAGAAUAUCCUCGAUUGGAAAGUAUCUGUGAAAACCAGACCAAAGCAGUGAAUUUUUAAAAACUUUCAAUAUAAUCCAUUAAAUUAUUCUCUAUUUGGAGGAUACUGAUAAACCAAUAUUGAAGUGAAGUACAUAAAAUUUCAGUUAUGAUUUUCUAACAUCUGAAUUAGAAGACUCUCAAAAAAAAAAAAAUCCAAGAAUCUGUCUACAAAAAGUUACACACUGUGGUUAUUGCUUGUGAAACUAGUAUAAAGACCACCAAACUCAUUCUUCCUUCUCUGUGUCCAUAUCCACCAACCAAUCUUCUAACAGUUGGUCUUUCAGGGUAAAAGCAUAUGCCUCUAGGUGGGCAGUGCACAGUGGAUAGAACAUUUACUUUCCACAGAAGUUGAAUUUCCCAAUGCAAAUUAGCAAAUCAGCAUCUGCAUUAUAGAUCCUUCUAUGAAUUUGGUUAACAUCAGUGUGUUCCAAAGAUCUUGUCUCAGCCCAUUCUACUUGAAACCCAAAUCACUCAAAGAUACAGUACCAUGUUUAAGGUCUAACGGUUAGCAUCAAUAAAGCUUGCCUCAAAAUCUUUGCUGUUUUGCAAAGAAUAAUGCAGUCACACAAUAACUAUUCAUCAAGAAAGUCUCAUAGGCAGCUUCUUUGAAGUUUAGAAUAUGUAUAACAUUCACCAUUCAUCUCCUCGGAUUGUGAAGGGGCUUCAGGGUUUGAAGGCGUUUUAGUAGCUUAGCCUAUAGAAUUAAAAUUUAGAAAUUAUUUCUCAUGCAUGCUGAAUAUUUCUGUAAUUCAACAGCAAAUAUUAAGGUGAUUUUUAGUUAUCUAAGGAUGCACAAAAACCUGGACACAGAAAAAAAUACUGCUCAGUCUGUUGCUCUGAUCUUUCAGGAAAUGCCAUUUACCUGAAAAUAUCCUCCCCCCCCCAAAGUGUGACAAAAUAAUGACAAAUGGGGUUCUAUGGAGGAGACUAUGCCAAGUGCCAAGGAUAGAUUAGCAGUAGGGGAAUGUAAUCCUGAACUGGAAGCAGGUUCCAGACUCUGACACUUGUACCACAGCUGAGAACCCCACGCCAUAACAGACACCUUAGCUUCUGACCUAUGUGCUUAGUGGCCCUCAAAACAUUUAGAAAAUAUUUUCUUUGAUUUGAUGAGGAGAUAACAAUAAUAAGGUAAAGAGGUUCAAUGAAAUAAAAAACUAGAGUAGCAAUUGAUGGUUUAAAAAAAUGAAAAAAAAAGUUGUCCUACAUGUUUUUACAACAUAGUUUGAGUCUUUAUAUACACUGUCAAUCACAUAGGAAAAACAGUAAAAAUGUUCUCAGACUAAUUUCAAAUUGAUACUACUGAAGUUGUAUCACAGAAGCAUUGAAAAUUUUCAAAUUGGGAGAUUCAUGGAAAAUUUUAUUAGCCCUUCCAAUAUUUUAAAACACUUUACUUCUCUAACGUAUGUUUUAUUAUAUACCUGAAAACUGGUUAGUUGGGGUGACUAUUUUGUCUAUGUUAAUGCUAAGAAAACAAAACAAACAGAGAAAAAAACACUGCUAGUCUAGGUUGUUCAAUACCUUGGCCUAAGAACAGACUUGUAUAAAAGUUUUUGGAGGUCAAUGCUCUAUCAGUUUUGAGGAGAUGUCAAAGAUAAAAGAGAAUUUUAUUUUAUUUUUUUGCAGUGCCUGCAUGUAAAUGGUGAGGUGCAGCUGUAUUCAAGUGGGAGAAUGUUUUCUAUGCCUAUGAUGUGAUCAUUUCCUGAUUGCUUUAUUUCAAAUUUAUGUUCUGUCUCAUUUUUAGUGCUCAUGAUGCAAGGGCAUUGUGAGUGGUGAGAGAUGAUUACUUCCCAACACAAAUGUAUGAGAAAUGUUGGGGAAAUGGUUCCGGGAAUGAGUGCCUACUACAAAAAAGUGAAGAAAAAGAUAAUAAUUUAUAUAGAGAGGAGAUGAUUGAUUAAUCAUUCUUUAUUUAUUCAGAUAGUACAUGGACAUGGACUUGAUACCCAGACCUUUGUUCUACACACUUGAGCAUUUAUUCAAUUAUUCUACAAAUGCAUAGUGUGUUCUUACUAUGCGAUGUGGAUGCAUAUCUUGGGUUGUACACCUUUAGAUAACAUCAACACAUGUAGCACUGUGUUUUAAAAUAAUAACAGGAAAUAUAUAUAAAAAAUCUUAGAAUAUAAUGUUGAAAAAUGAUACAGGAAAGAAAGUGAAAAAUAAAGUGACAAACUUAUUGUAUAUGAUUUUGCAAGAGUGGAAAGGGUUACCACUGAGACAAGAUCAUGAAGAAGUACAGAAAUACUUUGUAUUAUCUCUAAAAACUCACUAGUAUGAUUUUAAAUACUGUAAUUUAGUCAUUUCAUUACUGAUCAUCUCACAAUGUAUAUCUAUCUGGGUGUAUAUAUCUUUACCAGUUUAAGUUUUAAGUCAGCAUCGAUUCUCAGAAGCCAAAUCUUAGCUCAAAGAGGAUGGUUAAUUUUAGGCUUUGUAUCUUUACUGUCACAUUGAUCUCUUGAAAAUUGCAGCACUCGAUACCCAGACCAGUAGUAUACCGUAAAGAUUAACAUAGACUUGAGUGACUAAAAUGGAAAAAGAAGUCACAACUAGUAUGUGCCUACUGCUUCAGGCACAAUGCUUUCACGCAUAUUAUAUUUAAAUAUCACAGCUGCUCUGUGGAACAUUUUGUGGUUGCAAUUAACACCCAGAAAAGAGCUUGAAUGAUGCAUAGAUUUGGAAAAGGUGAAAAGAAUGAGGAGGUGCCUUCCUGAUGGCAGAAGCUGCUGGAACAUGAAGAUGUGAAAAAAUUUAGUUAUGUGGUCUUUGAGGUGACCCUAAAAUAGCAUCCUUGGUGUCUCUGUGUGCUGUGAACCAAAGGAAAAUAAAGAGACCUAAGGCAGAGAGGAACAAAAAUGACCUCUCUGUGGGUUUUUUCAAACAGCAUCCCUGAUCGAGUCAUCAAAGGUAAAUGUUCCCACUCCAAACCGGCUCAGCCCACUACUGCUCCACUCAGGCACAGGGUCCUUGAAAAUUUAAGACAUGGAUAAAAGAGGAAUGUGCAUGUGCUCUGCAGGUAGGAGAAAGGAGCUAGAUUAUGGGUGGAUUAACUCCUUCUAUUCUUGGCAAUCAGUAAAUUAUUCCUCACUGUUGGGAAAAGCAGUGAGCAAGAGGAGGAGGAAAGUCUAGGAUUGCUAGAGCUAGAAGUGUUUUUUUCCCAUGUAGAGACAAAAUCAUGAAUAGGAAUAAGUAGUUGCCCCCUACAUCAGGGCAAACCGAGGAACAGGGCUAAGACUGGCGGGGGAAGGCUUGUGUGAGAAUUACUGAAGGCUCAGUUGUGGGUCCUCUUCAGUAUCCCAACUCAGCUUCUGUCUUUGAGGGCAGCUAGUGAUUUCUUAGCCGUGGAGAAGCAGCAUGGCUUUCCCAUUUCUUUCAUACUGUCUCUUUUGAUUGCUCUGUUUGUUGAAUUCUGUGUCAAUGGAGAAGAUACAAGGCCUUAAGAAUGAUUUUGGUCUUUUUUCACUGAUCAUUGUCUCCAGGUGGCAUACAGUCCUUCACUAUGCUCUGCUUCUAUGAACCAAAACCACUAAAACAAAUAUUGGCAGUGAAAUAAUUCCACCAUGUGUUAUUCUAACACCACAGUUCAGAAUUAUGAGUAGUCCGUGGCCACAGACAAGGUAAGAAAAUUACUAAUUUCUCUUUUAGGGUAAGAUGUCAGGGCUCCUCUUGCA